rnacentral:rRNA from 1 species
UUUUUUAAUUGAAAACUUGUAUGAAAGGUUGAAUGAAAUAUUAGCUGUUUCAUAAAAAUUUUAAUUGAAUUUUAUUUUUUAGUUAAAAAGCUAAAAUAUAUUUAUAAGACGAGAAGACCCUAUAAAGUUUUAUAAUUAUUUUAUAAUAACUUAUUUAGAAAUUUUAAAGUUUUUGUAUAAUAAUUAUUUUAUUGGGGAGAUAAUAAAAUUUAAAAAACUUUUAUUUUUUAUAAUCAUUAAUUAAUGUUUUUAUGAUCCUUUAUUAAAGAUUAAAAAAUUAAAUUACUUUAGGGAUAACAGCGUAAU